AUCUUUCUAGUAUUAGUUUAGUACAAAUGACUUCCAAUCAUUUAGCCUUGGUUAAAAUCCAAGGAAAGAUA
rnacentral:tRNA from 1 species